rnacentral:rRNA from 1 species
GAUGAACGCUAGCGGCAGGCCUAACACAUGCAAGUCGAGGGAGAAGCCCUUCGGGGCAGAAACCGGCGCACGGGUGCGUAACGCGUAUGCAACCUACCUUUCACAGGGGGAUAGCCCGAAGAAAUUUGGAUUAAUACCCCAUAAUAUUAUUGGAUGGCAUCAUUUGAUAAUUAAAAUUACGAUGGUGAAAGAUGGGCAUGCGUCCUAUUAGCUAGUUGGAGUGGUAACGGCACCCCAAGGCUACGAUAGGUAGGGGUCCUGAGAGGGAGAUCCCCCACACUGGUACUGAGACAGGGACCAGACUCCUACGAGAGGCAGCAGUGAGGAAUAUUGGUCAAUGGUCGGAAGACUGAACCAGCCAUGCCGCGUGCAGGAAGAAUGCCUUANGGG